rnacentral:pre_miRNA from 1 species
AGGGACUUUCAGGGGCAGCUGUGUUUUAUUAACUCAGUCAUAAUGCCCCUAAAAAUCCUUAU